CCAGACUCCUACGGGAGGCAGCAGUGGGGAAUAUUGCACAAUGGGGGAAACCCUGAUGCAGCGACGCCGCGUGAGCGAUGAAGUAUUUCGGUAUGUAAAGCUCUAUCAGCAGGGAAGAAAAUGACGGUACCUGACUAAGAAGCCCCGGCUAACUACGUGCCAGCAGCCGCGGUAAUACGUAGGGGGCAAGCGUUAUCCGGAUUUACUGGGUGUAAAGGGAGCGUAGACGGCGAUGCAAGCCAGAUGUGAAAGCCCGGGGCUCAACCCCGGGACUGCAUUUGGAACUGUAUAGCUAGAGUGUCGGAGAGGCAGGCGGAAUUCCUAGUGUAGCGGUGAAAUGCGUAGAUAUUAGGAGGAACACCAGUGGCGAAGGCGGCCUGCUGGACUGCAACUGACGUUGAGGCCCGAAAGCGUGGGGAGCAAACAGGAUUAGAUACCCGGGUAC
rnacentral:rRNA from 1 species